AAAACCUCCAAGCCCGACGGUCUGACAUUUUACUCCAUUAAAGAAGUCAAGUCAUUUCCUGACAAGACAGAAGUGAGUGUCAAAGGAAAAGUUACAAAGAUUAAUUAUGUCGAAAAGAUUGAGGUGAAGUUCACCAAGACGAAGAUAAAAAGGCAACAAUUCCAACUUAAAGACGAGACUGAUUCCAUCGAGAUCGUCAUGUGGGGGGAAGCCACCGAGCAAUGC